GACGAACGCUGGCGGCGUGCUUAACACAUGCAAGUCGAACGGAAAGGCCCUGCUUUUGUGGGGUGCGCGAGUGGCGAACGGGUGAGUAACACGUGAGUAACCUGCCCUUGACUUUGGGAUAACUUCAGGAAACUGGGGCUAAUACCGGAUAGGAGCUCCUGCUGCAUGGUGGGGGUUGGAAAGUUUCGGCGGUUGGGGAUGGACUCGCGGCUUAUCAGCUUGUUGGUGGGGUAGUGGCUUACCAAGGCUUUGACGGGUAGCCGGCCUGAGAGGGUGACCGGCCACAUUGGGACUGAGAUCCGGCCCAGCCUCCUACGGGCGGCAGCAGUGGGGAAUAUUGCCCAAUGGCCGGAAGCAUGUUGCAGAAAAGUCGCGGGUGGUAUGACGGCCUUCGGGUCGUACACCUCUUUCGCCUUAGACGUAGCGAGAGUGCCGGUACUGGGUAAACAAGCCCCGGCUAACUACGUG
rnacentral:rRNA from 1 species